rnacentral:lncRNA from 1 species
CAAAGGUGUACUGGGAAGCCAAGGAUCGACUACCUCCUCGGGUAUAUGAAUAUCCUCUUUUGACACCUUUUUUUCUCUAUUCCUAUCCGUAAUCUGUUUAGUAUAAUCCUAUGUCUUUAAUUUCCAUUACUAGACUGUCAAGAUAGAUAUAAAUAUCGAGAGAGAUUUGGCCUACGCUCUUAAAGUUAAAGAAUGCCCACAAAUUUUGUUCUUACGUGGAAACAGGAUAUUGUAUAGGGAGAAAGGUGAAGACUAAACUCUUCAAUUGUUAUAUAAUAUAUACUCUCAUUUGUUAGCUCCAUUACUAACAAGUUCUUCACAAUAUGCAGAAACAAGAACAGCAGAUGAUUGCACAUUUUUUCUAUAACGCAAAAAAACCUUCGUGCAUUAAAGAUGAGGCUCUAUCAUCUCCGUCUUGAGUUCAAACGGCAGCAGCAUUGUAACCAUAUCUUGUGUCGUUGUGUCCUUAACUUGUACUCUGGCAUUUUAAGUUUUAUUUUUUGGUGAAUUUGUUCUAUGUUUUGUUUUGAUCGGAAUGGUUAGUAGGAUUUGGGCUUAAUCCUUCCUGAUGGAUUCACUGAUCUGAGAGUGGCAAAAACUCGAUGCAGUUGUAUGGUUUUUGGAUAAAAAAUAUGAACUCGAUCAGAAGCGUGUCUAUGUAGACCACUACUUAUAGACUUCAAUUUUAAGAUCAAAGGUGUAAUACUUUUUGUGAUGACAGUCUUUAUACAUCAUAUUAAAAAUUGAAAUAUGGUAGGGACAUUUUGUCAAACCUCAUAAAGUAGAAUCCUUGGGGUUAGGUCCACUCUUUUUACGACCUUU